rnacentral:lncRNA from 1 species
GACCGUUGUAUGACUUCCCUUCGUCCGCCAUGGCACAGGCAGGUACAGGGGCGGGCUCAGGCGCAGAACCUGACGCCACCAAACGCCAAGGAGCCUUAGCGCUCAGGACAGAAUCUCUCCUACGACCGGCGCCACCGCAUUUAUCCGGCGAAGCACGUCGCGCGCCGCCGACGUCCCCAGGAUGUGGGCGGUGCCGCGGGACGUGAACGCGCUCUCUGAGCCUGCGCAGAAGCAGGGCGGCCGCUCGGGGGCGUGGCCAGGCCCUCCGAGGCCCGCCCACGGCCGGAGCUCCGGCCGGAUGGCCUAUCGGCCGGCCCCGCCUUCCUAUUUCUUCGCUGGCCCGGUCCCGGAGCUAAACCCUCUGCGUUAGCACUGAACUCAAGAGGAGCAGGGUCGAGGGCUACACACAAGAAUGGAGACCUGGCCUCUGAACGGGAGUAACGGCCCACAGUCCCCGCCGGUGGGAUCCCGGCAGCGACACAGUAUCAUGCCCAGUGUGAAACCCAAGUGUGAAUUAAACGAA